GAUGAACGCUGGCGGCGUGCCUAAUACAUGCAAGUCGAGCGAACAGACGAGGAGCUUGCUCCUCUGACGUUAGCGGCGGACGGGUGAGUAACACGUGGAUAACCUACCUAUAAGACUGGGAUAACUUCGGGAAACCGGAGCUAAUACCGGAUAAUAUAUUGAACCGCAUGGUUCAAUAGUGAAAGACGGUUUUGCGGUCACUUAUAGCUGGAUCCGCGCCGCAUUAGCUAGUUGGUAAGGUAACGGCUUACCAAGGCAACGAUGCGUAGCCGACCUGAGAGGGUGGUCGGCCACACUGGAACUGAGACACGGUCCAGACUCCUACGGGAGGCAGCAGUAGGGAAUCUUCCGCAAUGGGCGAAAGCCUGACGGAGCAACGCCGCGUGAGUGAUGAAGGUCUUCGGAUCGUAAAACUCUGUUAUUAGGGAAGAACAAAUGUGUAAGUAACUAUGCACGUCUUGACGGUACCUAAUCAGAAAGCCACGGCUAACUACGUG
rnacentral:rRNA from 1 species